GAACACAUCCUGGCCAAUACGCUGACUGAAACCACAUGAGAGAUCCUACCUAGAACCACCUAGGCAAGCCACACUGGAAUUCCUGACUUAGAAAAAAAGUCUGAACCUAUGAUAUGGAGAUUUCCAGGCUAGGGCUCUAAUCAGAGCCACAGCUGCCAGCCUACACCACAACCACAACCAUGCCAGAUCCAAGCCACAUCUGUGACCUACACCACAGCUCAUGGCAACACCAGGAAUCGAACCCACAACCUCAUGGUUCCUAGUCAGAUUCGUUUCUGCUGUGCCACAACAGUAACUCCAGUGUAUUACUUAUUUACAUUUUGCUGUAUAAAAACUCUUGCCUUUCCCUUUGAGACUCUUCCAGGCAGUAUCAACUUUAUAAUACAUACAGCUCACCUAAUACAUUACUCUUGCCAUUUAUUUAUUCAAUUUUAGAUCUUCACAGAUCUAUCUCUUUAUAUAUCUUGGCAUUUUAAUCUUAAAUUUGAGGCUUAAUUUGUCCAUCAUUAUCUUGAAAACUCUUGUCACUUCAGACUAUUUUAUUUCAUUUUAAAUAAAUCAAGAACAAAAUGAAUAUAAAAAAAUUGCACACCACAACAAAGUGGGACUUAUCCCAGGUAUGCAAGACCAGGUCAACAUUCAAAAUUUAAAUAAUGUAAAAAGAGUAACAAAGAAAAAAUACACAAUCAUAUCAGUAGAGGCAGAAAAAUCUUUAUACAAAAUAUAACAUUCACUCAUGAUAAAUACCAUCCCUGAUUAGAAACUCACAGGUAACUAGAAAUAGUAGGAAACUUCCUCAACUUGAUUAAAAACAAACAAAAACACUGCAAGAAACUUACAGCUAACAUUGUACUUGCUAGUGAAAAACUAGAAGUUUUCACAGAAGAUAAGGAACAAGUAAGGAUAGCCCUCUUGUCACUCCUUUGUCAACAUUGUACAAGAAAUCCUAGCUAAUACAAUAGGAAAAGGAAAUAAGGGAUAGACAGAUUGGGAAGGAAGAAUUAAAACUGCCCUUGAUCACAGGUGACAAGAUCUUCCGCACAGAAAAUCCUAAGCAAAUGACAAAAUGUCUUGGAACUAAAAAGUGAUUAUAGCAAGUUAGCAAGGUCAAAGAUUAAAAACACAAUCACUUUCCCAUAUACCAGCAAUGAGGAAGUAGAAUUUCAAUGGAAUACUACUCAGCCAUAAAAAAAAAAACAAAAUAAUGCCAUUUGCAGCAACAUGGAUGGAACUAGAGAUUCUCAUACUGAGUGAAAUAAGUCAGAAAGAGAAAGACAAAUACCCUAUGAUAUCACUUACAUCUGGAAUCUAAUAUACGGCACAAAUGAACCUUUCCACUGAAAAGAAAAUCAUGGACUUGGAGAAUAGACUUGAGCUUGCCAAUGGGGAGGAGGAGGGAGUGGGAUGGAUUGGGAUCUUGGGGUUAAUAGAUGCAAACUAUUGCCUUUGGAAUGAAUAAGCAAUGAGAUCCUGCUAUAUAGCACUGGGAACUACGUCUAGUCACUUCUGAUGGAAUAUGAUAAUGUGUGAAAAAAGAAUAUAUAUAUGUAUGUAUGACUGGGUCACCUUGCUGUACAGUAGAAAAUUGACAGAACAUUGUAAACCAGCUAUAAUAGAAAAAAAUAAAAAUCAUUAAAUAAAUAAAUAUUAAGAAAAUUUAAAAAAAAUGAUUAUAGCAAGUUAGCAAGGUAAAGAUUAAAUAUACAAUCACUUUCCCAUAUACCAGCAAUGAACAAGUAGAAUUUGAAAUUUAAAAACAUAAUACCAUUUUGGUUAGCACCCAAAAAGUGAAAUACUUAGGUACAAACAAAAUAUAUACAAGAUAUUUAUGAGGAAAAUGACAAAAUCUUGAUGAAUGAAGAUAAGAACUAAAUAAGUGGAGAUAUUUUAUGUCCAUGGAUUAGCAAGUCUCAAUAUUGCCAAUAUAUAAGUUCUUCCCAAUUUGAUCUAUAUAGUCAAUGUAAUCCUAAAAAUGGGAUUUUUUUCCUUAAUUUCCCUUUGUGAUCUUUCAUUGUUAGUGUAUAGAAAUGCAAGAGAUUUCUGGGUAUGAAUUUUGUAUCAUGCAACUUUACCAAAUUCAUUAAUGAGCUCUAAUAGUUUCCUAGUAGCAUCUUUAAGAUUUUCUAUGUAUAGUGUCAUGUCAUCUGCAAACAGUGACAGUUUUAUUCCUUCUUUUCUAAUUGAGAUUCCUUUUCUUUUUCUCCUCUGAUUGCUGUGGCUAGGUCUUUCAGAACUAUGUUGAAAAGCAGUUGUGAGAAUGGACAUCCUUGUCUUGUUCCUAAUCUUAGAAGAUAUGCUUUCAUAAUUGAGUAUGAUGUUAGUCUCAGGUUUGUUGUACAUAACAUUUGUUACGUUGAGGUAAGUUGCCUCUAUGCUCAUUUCUUGAGGAUUUUUAUUAUACAUGGAUGUUGAAUUUUAUCAAAAUCUCUUUCUGUAUCUACUGAGAUGAUCAAAUAUUUGUUAUUCUUCAGUUUGUUAAUGUGCUGUAUCACAUUGAUUUGCAGAUAUUAAAAAAUCUCUGUGUUCCUGGGA
rnacentral:lncRNA from 1 species